AAGUCGUAACAAGGUUUCCGUAGGUGAACCUGCGGAAGGAUCAUUACAAUACGUUACUUCACGUAUCAACCCAAACUGUUGAACUGUAAAAAGGUGUCCGAUAGGAAAGACAUUUCAUGGGUUACGAGAGACUGGCGGCUUUGAAGUUGUGCACUUCGGUCGGUUUCUCUUUUUUGUUUCUGAGCAAUCGGAGCAAAAGCCCGGUUUUUCCUAGUUCGCGUAUUUAUUUUUUACAUUUUUUAACCCCUUUCACCCAACUAUUAUUUCAACAACCAAUUGAACUGAAUUCGAAGGAUGCUGAAAAGCGUCUAUUUCGAUCCUAUUCUUUACGAAACGUAAGAACAACUCUUAACAACGGAUAUCUUGGCUCUC
rnacentral:misc_RNA from 1 species